GUAGUCUCGCACAGACUGCAUAUCAAUAAGCGGAGGAAAAGAAACUAACAAGGAUUCCCCUAGUAACGGCGAGUGAAGCGGGAAGAGCUCAAAUUUGAAAUCUUAAAGGGUUUCCCUUUACGAAUUGUAGUUUAAAGAAGUGUUUUCUGUUGAGGUUUUGGUAAAAGUUCUUUGGAAUAGGACAUCAUAGAGGGUGAGAAUCCCGUAUUUGACCUUUACUUUCAACUUUGUGAUACACUUUCAAAGAGUCGGAUUGUUUGGGAAUGCAGUCCAAAAUGGGUGGUAAAUUUCCAUCUAAAGCUAAAUAUUGGCGAGAGACCGAUAGCGAACAAGUACCGUGAGGGAAAGAUGAAAAGAACUUUGAAAAGAGAGUUAAACAGUACGUGGAAUUGUCAAAAGGGAAGCGUUUGACACCAGUGUUGCUUUUUCUGAAAAUCAAUUAAAGAACUGUUUAUGCUAAGCUGUUUAGACUUUAUCAGCUAUCUGUUUAGUUUUGAGCUUUUCUUUAAUGCACUUUUCAGUUAACAAGUCAACAUCAAUUUCUUUUGCUGUAAAGAAGCUUGAGGAAGGUGGCUUGAGAUUCGUCUUAAGUGUUUAUAGCCUCUUGCCUAUGCAGUCGGAGAGAUUGAGGUCUGCAGCGUAGAUCCUUCGGGGCUAAAUGCAUUUGUGCUAAGUUAUAGCAUUUUAUAGACAACUUGUUGACUAUGAUUUGUCUUGUAGCUUACUCGCUUAUGUUAUUUUACCUACGCUUAGGAUGUUGAACUACUGAGACAUAGA
rnacentral:rRNA from 1 species